GAUGAACGCUGGCGGCGUGCCUAAUACAUGCAAGUCGAGCGAACAGACGAGGAGCUUGCUCCUCUGACGUUAGCGGCGGACGGGUGAGUAACACGUGGAUAACCUACCUAUAAGACUGGGAUAACUUCGGGAAACCGGAGCUAAUACCGGAUAAUAUAUUGAACCGCAUGGUUCAAUAGUGAAAGACGGUUUUGCUGUCACUUAUAGAUGGAUCCGCGCCGCAUUAGCUAGUUGGUAAGUUAACGGCUUACCAAGGCGACGAUGCGUAGCCGACCUGAGAGGGGGAUCUGCCACACUGGAACUGAGACACGGUCCAGACUCCUACGGGAGGCAGCAGUAGGGAAUCUUCCGCAAAGGGCGAAAGCCUGACGGAGCAACGCCGCGUGAGUGAUGAAGGUCUUCGGAUCGUAAAACUCUGUUAUUAGGGAAGAACAAAUGUGUAAGUAACUAUGCACGUCUUGACGGUACCUAAUCAGAAAGCCACGGCUAACUACGUG
rnacentral:rRNA from 1 species